CUCUUUUAGACUAGAGCUCAGCUUCCAGUUUAUUAAGAAGAAGAUGCUGGUUCAGGUUCUGUGGCAGGGAUAGAACUCCGGUCCUUGCUCCACUAUUCAUGCUGAGUGCCUGACAUGUGCCAGGAUGGUAUCCCUUUCCCUACAGGUCCCUAUGUAAAUACCUGGCAUAGGGGUGAGAGAAGGAGGCUUGGAGAAGGAAGUGUACUCAGAGCAGGGUGGAGCAGGAUGGGCUGAUGGGGAGACCCCAUGUCUUUGGCCCUGCAGCAGAAGUGAACAGAAAGCCUUCCAGGGUCAGAGCUGUGGAUUACUAUCUCCUCCCACUAGGACCAGAAGAGGAAGGAAGUGGCCCUCCCUGAUCCUACAAUGCUAUGCAAAACUGAAGAUGUCAAAGAUUCUGUCCUCAGUGAGGCAAAAGGGCUUGGUUGGCCCCCUGUUGAUUAAAGAAGAUGGGAACCAUGUGAAAGCAGG
rnacentral:lncRNA from 1 species